rnacentral:tRNA from 1 species
UCCCUGGCAGUCCAGAGGUUAAGACUCUGAGCUUUCAAUGCAGGGGGCGCAGGUUCGAUCCCUGGCCAGGGAC